CCGUGCAGCCGGGGAGAUAGCGGUGCCCUGUACCUGCAAUCCGCUACAGCAGGGGCGAUGUUCCGCCUCGGGUGAAUUACUGUAAGGCAGCCCUUUAUAAGUGAUGUUGACGUUUGGGUCUUACGCAACAGAAAUUUGUGAACCGUGUCAGGUCAGGAAUGAAGCAGCACUAAGCAAAACCUUCUGUGUGCCGUAAGG
rnacentral:SRP_RNA from 1 species